GGCUGGGUAGCUCAGUUGGUGAGAGCGCCGGACUCAUAACCCGGAGGUCGUGGGUUCGACUCCCACCCCAGUCA
rnacentral:tRNA from 1 species